CCUACGGGGGGCAGCAGUGGGGAAUAUUGGACAAUGGGGGGAACCCUGAUCCAGCCAUGCCGCGUGUGUGAAGAAGGCCCUCGGGUUGUAAAGCACUUUCAGUGAGGAAGAACGCCUGGUGGUUAAUACCCAUCAGGAAAGACAUCACUCACAGAAGAAGCACCGGCUAACUCCGUGCCAGCAGCCGCGGUAAUACGGAGGGUGCGAGCGUUAAUCGGAAUUACUGGGCGUAAAGCGCGCGUAGGUGGCUUGAUAAGCCGGUUGUGAAAGCCCCGGGCUCAACCUGGGAACGGCAUCCGGAACUGUUAAGCUAGAGUGCAGGAGAGGAAGGUAGAAUUCCCGGUGUAGCGGUGAAAUGCGUAGAGAUCGGGAGGAAUACCAGUGGCGAAGGCGGCCUUCUGGACUGACACUGACACUGAGGUGCGAAAGCGUGGGUAGCAAACAGGAUUAGAUACCCGUGUAGUC
rnacentral:rRNA from 1 species